CUUCCAGAAAGAAAGAAAGGUGCAUCUCUGAAAGAAGUGGGGUGAGGAGGAGCUUAUCCUGGUGAUAAUCCCUGCAGGGGGCCGAUCUGGAACCAGAAAAUCAGGAUCAAGUCCUGUUCCUCCCAGUGUUGAAGAUUAACACCCAAGAAACACUAAGGCAAGAGUAAAAAGUUUUAUUUAAAGGAUAGAACACCCCCCCCACACACACACACACACACAUGGGAGCGGGGGUGGGGGGGAGAGAGAGAGAGAGACAGAUAUUGAGUUCUCUGGAGAGGAGGGGAUUCAGAGCUGGUAUUCAAGGGAGUGGGGAUGUCUUGCACCUUUAAUAGAUUUCAGAUUUUUCUUUCUUGUCAAAUCCCUCUACUUCCAUCCUGCCUAUGUGGCCAAAAGGUGGGAAGGGAGCUGUCCAGCGGGUACACCCUAACUGUUUUACAUAUGUCAGGAAGGGAACAACUGAGCGGGUACUCAUUAACUCCUUUCUGGGAUAAACAAUUCCCUGGAUGCAGGUAACUUUGGCAACAGGAUGGAGGAGGGGGAAGUUCUCUGGAGAUAUUCGCAUUUUAUUUCCUUUUGAAAGAGUCUCCAUCCUUCUGACCCAAUCCUUCUUUAUCUACACUGACUGUCCUUUUGCCCUGGUCUCAAUGCCACCAUCCCUGAUCUAUCUUUCAUCAUUUAAUUUUCCUUGGCCAGGCACAGUGGUGGCACAUCCCUCUAAAGCCACAGGCUUGGGAGGCUGAGGCAGGAGGAUUGGAAGUUGAAAGCCAGCUUCAGCAAUGUUUUGAGACCCUGUCUCAAAAUACAAAGGGCUGGAGAUGUAGCUCAGUGCCCCUGGGUCCAAUUCCCAUCCAGAAAAAGGGGGUCACUACGUAUGGGCUUUAGACAACUGUGCAGUUGCUGCAUCUCAGCAGAGAGUUUUCAGUCGGUGGUGGCAGUUCUAGAGUGAAAUUGAUGUCACCUGGAUCACAGGUUUCUAUACCAGAAGUAUAUGGCCAUUUUCAGCUCCAGUUGGGAUGGGAAGAUGAUUUCUGUCCCUCACCAAGUCUUAUGGUGGGAAGAAUCUGCCAAACACAGAGUUUUAG
rnacentral:lncRNA from 1 species